rnacentral:rRNA from 1 species
CAAUAGCGUAUAUUUAAGUUGUUGUAGUUAAAAAGCUCGUAGUUGGAUUUUGGGUCGGGGGCACCGGUCCGCCGUUCCGGUGUGCACUGGUGGCCCCUUCCUUUCUGCCGGGGACGUGCGUCGCACUUAAUUGGGUGGCGUUCGGAGUCGGCGUUGUUACUUUGAAAAAAUUAGAGUGUUCAAAGCAAGCCAUCGCUCUGAAUACAUUAGCAUGGAAUAACAUGAUAGGACUCCGGUCUUAUUUUGUUGGUUUCCGAGACUGGAGUAAUGAUUAAGAGGGACAGUCGGGGGCAUCCGUAUUUCAUUGUCAGAGGUGAAAUUCUUGGAUUUAUGAAAGACGAACUUCUGCGAAAGCAUUUGCCAAGGAUGUUUUCAUUA